CUUCCAUAUAAAAUACUACAGAUGAACCUUCAUUAGCUGCAAAGGCAGCUAUGAUGGUUAAUUUCUCAUCCAAAUUUGAUACUGUAAAAAUGAACAAAAAGUUUAUUAAAAAAGGCAGCAUAAGUGAUACAUAAACAAAAGAAAUGACAAAGCAUGCCAAGGAACAAUAAAAAGCACAUGCUCCAUGCAAAGGAGGAGUGUGAGAGGAAAGACAUUAGUAACUCAACUCUUUCAUCAAAGAUGGAUAAGUUGAUAAUAACAACAAUAAAAAAUAACACAUAACUUGCCAACAAUCAUACUGUAAUGACUAAAACAGAUAAAUUUUUGUUACAUGUAACUUGAUUUAAUAAAGGUCCAAAUGAACCAUUUCACCAAGUUCCCUCACUUGAAAAUGCUAACACUGAAAUAAAUAUAUAAUAUAAAGAAAGAUUAUUCAAAAUAUCAACUCAGCACAAAAACUCUAAGGAAAAUAAUUGGAAAAAAGUAAACUGAAAUUUGUUCAGAUUUUUGCCAUUGAUCACUCUUCAAAGCUACAGUAAAACUGGAUUCUCCUCAUAUUUCUAAUUCAAAUGUUAAUUAUGUGCUUAGGAACAAAAUAACACUGCCAUGUAAAAUAGUGAAAUCUUAAAUUUGCUAGAAAUUAAUUUCCAAAAUUUAUGAUAGAUAAAGAAAAUCACUUAAUAGACAUAAUUUAUCCAAAAAUUGAACUCUAAACAAAAACAAAUUUUUAACAAUUGAAUAAAGAAGAGACAGAGUGAGAGUGAACGAGGGAAGGGAAGGGCAAAAAAAUUUUAAAACAGAAAUAUGAGAGAGAUACAAAAGGGAUUAACAGAACACCCCAAGAAAAUUUAGUUAUUCAAGAAAUCAAACGAAAUCCAUGAAUAAGCAUCAAACUAAAAAGUAACAAAAUGAGUAUAUAAAGAAAAUAAAGUAAAGAUCAACAUACAUUAUAAAGAUAUGAACCAUAGGAGGCAGAUGAUGAGAUGAGCCAAACCCAAGUUCACGAAACUACAUAGGAGGCAGAGAAUGAUGCUAUUUCUGACAUGCAAGCUACAAUGGAGUUUGAAAUUGAAAGAAAAUUGUUUCUCUAUUUGUUGGAGUUGGAGUUGCAUGUCUUCCCCUUUGUCUAAUCCUCUCUCUUAAGGGGGCUUCUAAAUCUGAUAGUUUUCUCCCCUCUCAGUGCAUGCAUGGUCGCGAUCGAGGAAAAGGGAAACGAAGAUGAGAAAUCACACUUUGAGCCCACCCAUUCCAUGCGUCGACACUAAAGAGGUCCACACAAACUAGGAAUUGAAGACAGGAAUAGGCAAAUUGAAUGGAUUAAGGACAGGAGAGCUUGGGAUCGUGAAAGGGAGAGAGAGAGAAUUGAUAGAAUGCUUUGAUAAUGGUGGAGAAAAAGAAGAAUGAUGAAGGAGAUUUAGCUACUGGAAAGGGG
rnacentral:misc_RNA from 1 species